rnacentral:rRNA from 1 species
CCUACGGGAGGCAGCAGUGGGGAAUAUUGGACAAUGGGCGAAAGCCUGAUCCAGCAACGCCGCGUGAGGGAUGACGGCCUUCGGGUUGUAAACCUCUUUCAGUAUCGACGAAGCUGCAUCUUUUUGGGUGUGGUGACGGUAGGUACAGAAGAAGCACCGGCCAACUACGUGCCAGCAGCCGCGGUAAUACGUAGGGUGCGAGCGUUGUCCGGAAUUAUUGGGCGUAAAGGGCUCGUAGGCGGUUUGUCGCGUCGGGAGUGAAACACUGGGCUUAACUCAGUGCUUGCUUCCGAUACGGGCAGACUAGAGGUAUGCAGGGGAGAACGGAAUUCCUGGUGUAGCGGUGAAAUGCGCAGAUAUCAGGAGGAACACCGGUGGCGAAGGCGGUUCUCUGGGCAUUACCUGACGCUGAGGAGCGAAAGUGUGGGGAGCGAACAGGAUUAGAUACCCUGGUAGUCCACACCGUAAACGUUGGGACGCUAGGUGUGGGGCCUAUUCCAGUCGGUUCCGUGCCGCNCGCGUACGACGUAUACGCCGCCCGCCGUCGGGUAGGUACGGCCGCCGACGGACGUAAACCGUACGAACGAAGUUAGACGGCGUGAGACGCGCCGACGGACGACGACGAGGGAGG